GUAGGGAAUAUUGGGCAAUGGUCGGAAGACUGACCCAGCCAUGCCGCGUGCAGGAAGACGGCCCUCUGGGUUGUAAACUGCUUUUAUCUGGGAAGAAAAAGGCCAUGCGUGGCAAAUUGCCGGUACCAGAUGAAUAAGCACCGGCUAACUCCGUGCCAGCAGCCGCGGUAAUACGGAGGGUGCAAGCGUUGUCCGGAUUUAUUGGGUUUAAAGGGUGCGUAGGCGGCUGAUUAAGUCAGCGGUGAAAGACUCCGGCUUAACCGGAGCAGUGCCGUUGAUACUGGUUAGCUUGAGUGUUGGAGGGGUACAUGGAAUUGAUGGUGUAGCGGUGAAAUGCAUAGAUACCAUCAGGAACACCGAUAGCGAAGGCAUUGUACUGGCCGACAACUGACGCUGAUGCACGAAAGUGUGGGGAUCGAACAGGAUUAGAAACCCCGGUAGUCC
rnacentral:rRNA from 1 species